UGUCGUUAAGUUUCCGUCAAC
rnacentral:siRNA from 1 species